rnacentral:rRNA from 1 species
CAAUAGCGUAUAUUUAAGUUGCUGCAGUUAAAAAGCUCGUAGUUGGAUUUCGGGUGGGAAUGGCCGGUCCGCCGUUUCGGUGUGCACUUGCUACGCCCACCUUGCUGCCGGGGACGUGCUCUUGAGUUCACGCUCGGGACACGGAGUCGGCGAGGUUACUUUGAGUAAAUUAGAGUGUUCAAAGCAGGCCUACGCUCUGAAUACAUUAGCAUGGAAUAACACGAUAGGACUCUGGCCUAUCUUGUUGGUCUGUAGGACCGGAGUAAUGAUUAAGAGGGACAGUCGGGGGCAUUCGUAUUUCAUUGUCAGAGGUGAAAUCCUUGGAUUUAUGAAAGACGAACUUCUGCGAAAGCAUUUGCCAAGGAUGUUUUCAUUAA